CACAUAUUAAGACAAAACUUUAAGCAUCAGAUUGAAGUUUGAGAGUCCUCCACAUUUCUCUGAACCUUCAGAUCAGCGUAGGUGAGUGACCCACUAUUAUCUUCCACAUUAUCCUGGGCUGAAAUACUCUAAUAUUCAGUAGCUUUCAGUUACCAUAGAUUACUAAAAAAAAAAAAAAAAAAAAAA